GUGGGGAAUAUUGGACAAUGGGCGAAAGCCUGAUCCAGCAAUGCCGCGUGUGUGAAGAAGGCCUUCGGGUUGUAAAGCACUUUUGGCAGGAAAGAAAUAGUGCGUGCUAAUACCAUGCGCGAAUGACGGUACCUGCAGAAUAAGCACCGGCUAACUACGUGCCAGCAGCCGCGGUAAGACGUAGGGUGCAAGCGUUAAUCGGAAUUACUGGGCGUAAAGCGUGCGCAGGCGGUUUUGUAAGACAGGUGUGAAAUCCCCGGGCUCAACCUGGGAACUGCACUUGUGACUGCAAGGCUAGAGUGUGUCAGAGGGAGGUGGAAUUCCGCGUGUAGCAGUGAAAUGCGUAGAGAUGCGGAGGAACACCGAUGGCGAAGGCAGCCUCCUGGGAUAACACUGACGCUCAGGCACGAAAGCGUGGGGAGCAAACAGGAUUAGAUACCCCAGUAGUCC
rnacentral:rRNA from 1 species